UUUCAGGGCGGGGCGCAAUUCCCCACCGGCGGUAAAUGCGCGGCGUAUUCCUCGCCAAGCGCAUGAGCCCGCGAGCCGCAAACAGCGGCCGACCCGGUGCGAUUCCGGGGCCGACGGUAUAGUCCGGAGUGAAGAAA
rnacentral:ncRNA from 1 species